UACAGAGGUCUCAAGCGUUGUUCGGAUUCAUUGGGCGUAAAGGGUGCGUAGGCGGCUCGGUCAGUCGGGUGUGAAAUCCCUGGGCUCAACCUGGGAACUGCAUUCGAUACUGCCGAGCUAGAGUGUGGGAGAGGGUAGUGGAAUUCCCGGUGUAGCGGUGAAAUGCGUAGAUAUCGGGAGGAACAUCAGUGGCGAAGGCGACUGCCUGGCCCAACACUGACGCUGAGGUGCGAAAGCGUGGGUAGCAAACAGG
rnacentral:rRNA from 1 species